UACGUAGGGGGCAAGCGUUGUCCGGAUUUAUUGGGCGUAAAGAGCGUGUAGGCGGCCAGGUAGGUCAGCUGUGAAAACUCGAGGCUCAACCUCGAGAUGUCGGCUGAAACCAUCUGGCUAGAGUCCGGGAGGGGCGAGUGGAAUUCCUGGUGUAGCGGUGAAAUGCGCAGAUAUCGGGAGGAACACCAGCGGCGAAGGCGGCACUCUGGGCUGGAACUGACGCUGAGGAGCGAAAGCGUGGGUAGCAAACAGG
rnacentral:rRNA from 1 species